UACGAAGGGGGCUAGCGUUGCUCGGAAUCACUGGGCGUAAAGCGCACGUAGGCGGCUUCUUAAGUCAGGGGUGAAAUCCUGGAGCUCAACUCCAGAACUGCCUCUGAUACUGAGGAGCUCGAGUCCGGGAGAGGUGAGUGGAACUCCGAGUGUAGAGGUGAAAUUCGUAGAUAUCAGGAGGAACACCGGUGGCGAAGGCGAAUCCCUGGAAAAUACCUGACACUGAGGCACGAAAGCUAGGGGAGCAAACAGG
rnacentral:rRNA from 1 species